GCCACUCGUUUGGUUGGUAGAGCAUGAGUCUCUGAAUCCCAGGGUUGUGGGUUCGAGCCCCAGAUUGGGCA